ACAGUUGGCGAUCAUCCACUUCAACGAGAAUGCAGACCGUGUCCAGUUGGAGAGGGAAGGCGCGAAGCAGUACCGUCUCAAGGCAUUGAAGGUUAAGAAGACGUGGGUGGCUGUACCUCUGAAGGAGAGUGCUAGCUAUGGUUAUGCAUCAGCCUUGAUUGCUGAGGUGCUGACACGCAUUCAGGAGCACAGAAGGGAGUCUGGAGCUGUGGCAGCUCUGCCAACGCGGUCAUCAACAUAUGGUGAGAGGCCAAGCUUUACAGAAGCAGUCGUGAAGCAUCAGGCAAGGUUCCAGAAAUGAGGCUCCCACCUGCAUCACACACUGAACGUUGAAACUAAGCUAAAAAAAGGCCCUUUUCAGGGCCACCACAAGGUUUAUGCAGAGACAAGCGUUGCGUUAUGAACCCACCAAAGUGCACAUUAUUGUUUUUGGUCCAGCUGCAUACACUUUUCUGAAUUGUGUUGCUGAUUCAAAUGAACUGCUUUUUUUUUAAUUCCUUCUGUGGCUAUUAAUAGCAUCUAAUGAACUAUAUGCGCACCUGUGUGACUUUUAUUGGAAUUCCAGUUACAAUUUCAGCGCACAGAGGACACACUAAGGAUUCAAGAAUAUGGUGGUAUCGGGCUCCGAUAUGCAUAUGAUGGUAAGUUUUUUAUCUUUGUCUUAAAUCUGUGUUUUUACUUUUUUCAGCACAUCGAGCUCGCACUGCUCGUAUGGAAGAAAAGAUCCUGUUACCAUCCUGUCAACAUGAACCAUAAUGCCAGCUCCCUACAUAGCAACUGAAAAUAUAGCAAGAAUGAGGAAAUAAAAUGUACUAAAUACAAUCAGUUCUUGU